CACCCACAGCAGACCCAAAUCUCUCAUCACCUCUCUUUGUGUUCACCCACGACAACGAGCACCACCUGCCCGGAGCUUCCCCUCCUCUGCCCGGAGCGGCGGCCGUCCAGAGCGACCGAACUCCCCACCCUAUCCGCUCCCCCCCCCCCCCCCCCCCCUCCCCGGCGACGGGCCCUCCUCUCCUCCAUGUCCCUGCCGCUCGGCCACGCUGGAGAUCGACGGAAAUCGAAACACACACCCUCUCCCCGCCAUGGCGUAUCCGUCCCGCUUCUCCUCCACACGAAGACAUCGUCCGACUCCGACACUUCCUCUCCUCGCCGUGCGGUCCCUGGCCUCUUCCCCGCGCCGCACACAUGAGGAGGCGUCCUCACCCUAAGUGCUACAGCAAGCUUGAAGCAGAAUUUCAGAGAGGGCGCUGUGGAUGGCCGAGCAAGGCGGCGGCCGCCAAGUACGUCAAGGUCUUCUAUUGAUGCACCUAUUCUGUCGAAACUUCCCAACGGAUUGCAACUGAUUCCUUUUAAAGUACUGAGUCGCUGAGAUCAAGUUGCUAAGGCCAAUCCAAAUUGUGGUGGCAGUUCAGCCAUCUGGAAGCCCACACCUCUGAUUAGAAAAAUUUGGAGUGGUGACAACACAUGCGAACACAGAUCCGGGCAAGGUCUCAUUGUAAUGAAGUAAGGAACACUCACAGCUAUGUCGGCGAGGAUGCCACGGAAUGUCUACUGGACUGCUUUAAUUCUAUGAUGAAAUGCUCCUACCUCCUAACGAAUUGAAAGAAACACAUGCAGGGGGGAUUCCAGCCGAAGCGAGGGUACGGCCUUGGUGCCAUAAUCCUCUUCGAGCAGGCGCGUCCGAGGCCGCUGUACUGCCAUGGUAACUCCGUAGGUUGAGGAUUGCUUGCAUAAAAUAUUCUGCUAAGUUCUGGCCCGGGUCUUCCCUGCUUUUGUACAUGUUUCUUGAUUUCUUGAUUGCAUCCUGGGCGCAAUUCACGUCCUCAUUAACCUUGAUUCCAUUUUUGUGUUGAAAUUACAUACCUUCUGGGGCGUGAUUACAUACCUUCCGGGGAGAGUAUAUUUGAUGUAAUUGUGGGGAAGGUCAGACCCAAAACGACAUCCCCUUGGUUUAUUUCGCAAAUACCGAGGGACAUAUAACGCAACAGUUUG